CUGUGUGACCAAUUCAUCCACGCGAUCUCUCUGCAUCCCCGCUCCACUUCGUGCCCUAGGCCUAAUCGCCGCACCGGCGAUGACGGUGAGUGAUGCUUUGGGUUGCUGCCACCAGCCCUACUGCUCCCGGUCCCUUUGGUUGUGUUCAUCAAGGUUCCAGUCAACUGAUUUGGGCAAAUCUUGGAGGUUGGUACUCAUCGAGCCGCCGAUCUUCAAUCUGAUCCAUUCAAGUCAGGCUUGACUGAUUGAUGCAGGGCGAAUCAAGGCGGGCCUGACUGAUUGAUGCAGGGCGAAGCAAGGCCGGGGUCAAUUUUUGUUGGUUCUAUCGGUAACGGCCUCGCUCGACACUUCCUUGGCGUUGACACUUACAUGCGGUGGAUUUUCACGCCCCUACGCCCCUUCUUCACUGGACAAUAAUACAAAGGGUAUUCCAAAUUUCCAUCUUUGCUCCUCCUCCAUGCUUUGUUCCCCCUUUUCGAGUGUUUGUAUUUUGCAACUUAAUUUCUUGUUUAUAUGGUUUAACAUGGAUUGAUUGGUCGAGGAGAGUACGGCAACAAGAUAUGGUGCUAGAGAUAUGGAUUUCCCAGGGAGUCAGCUCGAUGUAGUGUAGUAACCUCGGCUUACCUUAUCUUCGCGGCCUCUGAAUGCCGUUACAAUUUGAAAAUAAGGAUCCUUGAUUA